CUCGUUUGUGAGCGCGGACAUCGACGGAUGACUGACGCCGUGCAAUGCAGCUUCUGGAUGGGGAGGUAGGUGAAGGCUCGGCAGGAAGGAAGAGGUGAAAACAAUGGGAUAUGCCUGGCUCCCUGUAUGCCACUCGCGUAGCUGCCAACUCUCCAAACCCAGCGUUGGCUCUACCGCGGAUGGCGUGCGAGGAGCCAAGCAUGACCGUCUCUCUCUCUCUCUCUCUCUCUCUCUCUCUCUCUCUCUGGUUGCUUUAGAUUCCUGGAAAUGAACCGCAUCAUGCAUGUGAUGCUAUGUACAAGCAGCUAGCGAUAAUGGUAGGGAGUACUCCAAGAUCUAUACAGUACUUUUGUACGUACGUUUGGCAUAAUCUGUGUCCUUGUGAAUGCAUGGUAAGCAUAUUAAAGUAGUUUUGGUUCCCAGCGUGUAAACAACAAUCUGUAUACUAAUCAAUCUAAGCCUCCUUAAGACCUUAACUAUAUAAGUUCAUAUGCAACCCUCAUCGAGUGCAGCAACUGUUCUGAUGACUAUGUAUUGACCUUUUUUCUUUGUUUUUUGAAUCGAUCGUCACUUCAUUCUGUUUUCUUGUAGUUUGUACGCUGCUGCAGGCCGGCAGAUAUGUAUGCACAAGUAUCAUUCAAACACUUGCAUGGCUCCAUCUCAUUAAUCAUCCAGAUUCCAGAGGGGGAGCUACACAUACUUUUCAUGGUGCUGGUCGAUACCUGACCCGGCUGGCGUACACCGUACAGGCUCCAAUGUCAAUGCAUCUGCGCAUCUAUAUAUCAGCAGAAAAGCUAGGUGUAUAUAUAGCUCGCUCGUCAGACCAUAUGCAUGCAUUGGUCUUACUUAGUCGUUUGAUCCUGAUUCAGAUGGUCAAAAUCAUGUACACUUUGAGAUUUCACCUUUCCUGUAAGAACAUGUAAUAUCCUUGGUGUGUUCCAUUCUCGAAUAUUCAAUGAAUUAAGCCGAAAUACUGUACUAGCUUUUCUCAUCUGGAAUGAAAAAAAAACUACUUGUAUGCUCGUUGUUCUGCCGUAUAUAAUUCCUUCUUUUUCCUUGAGAGAAGGGCACAUAUCGUCCCAAGGUCUAGCUGACCACGAAGCACGUGUGUAGUACACGGUUUGCAGCACUAUCUUGUAAUUUGUUCCCUCGGCAGAAAUGUUCGAUUUGACAUAUAAACAAACGCGUGAAUUUCAUAUGGCGCUACGAUCGUUGUCAGUAACAUGAUUAUAGACUUGCCAAUCAAAUCAGUUAGUG
rnacentral:lncRNA from 1 species